GAGUUUGAUCUUGGCUCAGAUUGAACGCUGGCGGCAUGCUUUACACAUGCAAGUCGAACGGUAACAGGUCUUCGGAUGCUGACGAGUGGCGAACGGGUGAGUAAUACAUCGGAACGUGCCUAGUAGUGGGGGAUAACUACUCGAAAGAGUAGCUAAUACCGCAUGAGAUCUACGGAUGAAAGCGAGGGGACCUUCGGGCCUUGUGCUACUAGAGCGGCUGAUGGACAGUAGUUAGGUAGGUU
rnacentral:rRNA from 1 species